GCUGCACUUCCGGGCGCCAUUCAAGGUGAGGCAGGGGCUCCCCAAACACCCUUACUCUUGCUUUUCCCAGAAAUUAGGGACCCGUCUACCCCACUCACAGAGCUUGAAGUCUGGCGGGCCCAGUACCCGGUCAAGGUGUCCAGCCGGAGGCCGGACAGCCAUCGGAGGAGGCAGAGUCAUCUGGACGUCUGGGUCCCAGCGAGGCCCAACCGCCUUAAGACCUCGCGCUUCUGCCCUGCUGAGCCGGGUCGCGCUUUUCGUCUGGCUAUCCUGGGUGUCCGGAAGCGGAGUACGACUCCUAAGUCCCCGCCAGGCGGCGCCGUCAGCCUGGCCUGGAUUCCCCUGCGGCUGUGAGCCUUGGCCACCCCAGGGGUGUUGAAAUUGGCGAGCAGAGAGGAGAAGCGGGCUGUCGGAAAGCAGUCUACCACUUGGAAUAAGUUUUCCCCUGGAUUGUGUUUUCCAUCAUUAAGAUCUCUUGAAGUACAUAUACAAAUUCUUAUGCUCCACCCUCAAAGAUCCUGAUUCCGGGGAUCUCGGGUGACGUUUUUUAUUUAAUUUUACUUUUGGCUGCCCUGGGUCUUCCUUGCUUUGCGUGGGCUUUCUCUCCUUGGAGUGAGUAGGGGCUGCCCUUCCUUGCAGUGCCUGGUCUCAUUGUGGUGGCUUCUCUCGUUAGGGAGCACUGGGCUCUAGAGUUCAGGCUCAGGAGUUGUGGUGCACGGGUAUGUGGAAUCUCCCCCGACCAGGGAUCCCACCCGUGUCCCCUGUGUUGACACGUGGAUUCUUAAGCACUGGACCAUCAAGGAAGUCUGAAAGUCAGCACUUUUAAAACACCCACUCCAGAUUGAUGCUGGUAGUCUGCACACCUCACUUUCAGAAACUCUCAUGUAACUGAUGGAGAGGAACACUACAUUGGGUUGGCUAUGGGACUCUUUAUCUUCAGGAGAGCUUCCAAGAGGAAGUGAUUCUAACAGGGCUUUGUACUGAGAGACUAGAAUAUCUACUGGUUCUUUGCCUCACAGUUAUGAAUUCCCUCUCCUGCCACUACCAGGAUGCAGAAGAUUUCAGUGCUGCUUUUCCUGGCCUGGGUGAGCUUCCUCUUCUACGCCGGCAUUGCUCUCUUCACCAGUGGCUUCCUGCUCACCCGUUGGGAGCUCACCAACCAUAGCAGCUGUCAAGAGCCCCCAGGCCCUGGAGCCCUGCCAUGGGGGGGCCGAGGGGAACCCGGGGCCUGCUGGAUGGCUUCCCGAUUCUCUCGGCUCGUGUUGGUGGUGAUAGAUGCUCUGCGAUUUGACUUUGCCCAGCCCCAGCGCUCACCUGUUUCUGGGGAGCCUCCUGUCUCCCUGCCUUUCCUGGGUAAAAUGGGCUUCUUGCAGAGACUCCUGGAAAGUCAGCCCCACCAUGCCAGGCUCUACCAAGCCAAAGCUGACCCCCCGACCACCACCAUGCAGCGCCUCAAGGCCUUAACCACCGGCUCACUGCCUACCUUUGUUGAUGCUGGCAGUAAUUUUGCCAGCAGCGCCAUAGUGGAAGAUAAUCUCAUUAAGCAGCUUUCCAGUGCAGGAAGACGUGUGGUCUUCAUGGGAGAUGAAACCUGGAAUGAUCUUUUCCCUGGAGUUUUCUCCCAAGCUUUAUUCUUCCCAUCCUUCAAUGUCAGAGACCUAGAGACAGUGGACAAUGGCAUCAUGAAACACCUCUAUCCAACCAUGGACAGUGACGAAUGGGACGUGCUGAUUACUCACUUCCUGGGUGUGGAUCACUGUGGCCACAAGCAUGACCCUUACCAUCCUGAAAUGGCUAAGAAACUUACCCAAAUGGAUAAAAUGAUCCAGGGACUUGUGAAGCGUCUGAAGAACGACACACUGCUGGUGGUGACUGGGGACCAUGGGAUGACCAUCAGUGGGAACCAUGGAGGAGAGAGUGAGCUGGAAACCUCAGCUGCACUUUUUCUAUAUAGUCCCAGAGCUCUCUUCCCCAGUGCUCCUGCAGAGGAGCCAGAGAUAAUUCCUCAAAUCAACCUUGUGCCUACGCUGGCCCUGCUGCUGGGCCUGCCCAUCCCAUUUGGAAACAUCGGGGAGGUGAUAGCUGAGGUGUUCUCAGAGAUCGAAGACUCCCAGCCUCGCUUCUCCGCUCUGGCCCAAGCCUCAGCUCUGCAUCUCAAUGCCCAGCAGGUGUCCCGAUUUAUUCACACCUACUCAGCCACUGCUCAGGACCUUCAAGUUCAGGAGCUGCAUCGAUUGCAGAAGCUCUUCUCCAAGGCUUCUGCUGACUACCAGCGACUUCUGCAGAGCCCCCAGGGGGCUGAGGCAGCGCUCCAAACUGUGAUUCCUGAGCUGCAGCAGUUCCUGCGGGGAGUUCGGGCCAUGUGCAUUGAGUCUUGGGCUCGUUUUUCUCUGGUCCGCAUGGCAGGGGGUGCUGCUCUUCUGGCUGCUACCUGCUUUCUUUGCCUACUGGUAUCCCAGUGGGCAGCAUCCCCAGCCUUCUAUUUCGGCCCUCUCCUAAAACCCACAGCCUCGGGUCUGAGUGGCGCCAUGGUGUGUGCUGGACUCCUGGCAUCUACUGGGCUGAAGCUGGAUUCCGUGGUUCUAGGGGCCAUGGCUGCAGUGGGCUCACUCCUGCCUUUUCUGUGGAAAGCUUGGGCGAGCUGGGGAUCGAAAAGGUCCCUGGCCUCUCUCCUUCCCAUGCCCGGGCCAGUCCUGUUACUCCUGCUCAUUCGCUUUGCUGGUUUCUUCUCCGAUAGCUAUAUUAUAACCGAGGCCAGGGUUGCCCCCUUCCUUUUGAUCUCACUCAUCUUGCUCCUGGUUGCCCAACUUCACUGGGAGGGCAAGCUGCUGCCACCUAAGCUACUCUCGAUACCUCGCCUUGGCUUUUUGACUCCAACAGGUCCCCCGCAAUACAGUGCCAUGCAUGCCCUGGGACUUGGAGUUGGGUUGCUUUUAUGUAUAAGGCUAGCUGGACUUUUUUAUCGCUGCCAUGAAGAGACACCUGUUUGUAGCUCCUCUCCCUUGCUGAGUCCCUUGCGAUCCACAGUGGAUGGUCGAACCAAGAAUUUGUGGUAUGGAGCUUGUGUCGGGGCGCUGGUGGCCCUGUUAGCCUCUGUGCGGCUGUGGCUUCGCUGCUAUGGUAAUCUCAAGAGCCCUGAGCCCCCUGUGCUCUUUGUGCGCUGGGGGCUGCCCCUAAUGGGACUGGGCACUGCUGCCUACUGGGCAUUGGCAUCAGGGGCAGAUGAAGCACCCCCACGUCUCCGGGCCCUGGUCUCUGGGGCGUCAGUUUUGUUGCCUCGGGCUGUGGCAGGGUUGGCCGCUUCAGGGCUCGUGCUGCUGCUCUGGAGGCCUGUGACAGUGCUGGUGAAGGCCACAACAGGUGCUCCAAGGACCAGGACUGUCCUCACUCCCUUCUCAGGUCCCCCCACUUCUCAGGCUGACCUGGAUUAUGUGGUUCCUCAAAUCUACCGACACAUACAAGAGGAGUUCCGGGGCCGGCUAGAGAGGACCAAAUCUCAGGGUCUGCUGACGGUGGCUGCCUAUCAGUUGGGGAGCGUCUACUCAGCUGCUGUGGUCACGGCCCUUACCCUCUUGGCCUUCCCACUUCUGCUAUUGCAUGCAGAGCGCAUUAGUCUUGUGUUCCUGCUUCUGUUUCUGCAGAGCUUCCUUCUCCUGCAUCUGCUUGCUGCCGGGAUACCCAUCACCACCCCUGGUCCUUUUACUGUGCCGUGGCAUGCAGUUUUUGCAUGGGCCCUCAUGGCCUCACAGACCUUCUAUACCACCGGCCACCAGCCUGUCUUUUCAGCUAUCCAAUGGCAUGCAGCCUUCGUGGGAGUCUCAGAGAGUCGUGACUUUACCUGGCUGUCUGCUUUCCUGGUGGGAGCCAACACCUUUGCCUCCCAUAUUCUCUUUGCAGUAGGUUGCCCGUUGCUCCUGCUCUGGCCCUUUCUGUGUGAAAAUCAAGGAUCCCAGAAGAGGCGGCAGCCCCCAGGAAAUGAAGCUGAGGCCAGAGUCGGGCCUGAGGAGGAGCAGGAGCCACGGAUGGAGAUGCGGCUCCGGGAUGCACCUCACCACUUCAGUGCAGCACUGCUGCAGCUGGGCCUCAAGUACCUCUUUGUCCUUGGUAUUCAGAGGCAGAGUGUAUGACUCUGACAUUCCCUCCACCCUGAGAAGCCGAGCCUGAGUGUUAAGAGACACAGAUGAAUAGUGCUUGUCCACGGUCACACUGCAAGUCAUAGUAGGGCCAAGGAAAGAGUUAGGUUUCCUAACUCUUAGCCCAGAGUUCUUUCCACUGACAGAUUCUGGCCUGUGUCUUGGCAGCCUCCAUCCUCCGCAGGCAUCUCUUGGUCUGGAAGGUGUUUGCCCCCAAGUUCAUUUUUGAGGCCAUGGGCUUCAUUGUGAGCAGCGUGGGACUUUGUCUAGGCAUAG